rnacentral:lncRNA from 1 species
AGCGGAGCUGCGGACCGCGCGCGCCGGGCUGCCUGCAUCCGCGAGGCGAUGAUACGCGUCCCGCAGCCACGGGAGUGACGGCAGCUCGAGCGGGGACCCCGCGGGCUCUGCCUCCGCGCGCCACCGCCCACUCCGCUCCGCUCCGGUCCGGUCCGGUGCGGUGCGCUGCGCUGCGCUGUGGAGAGCCGGGAACGGCGCGCUCCGUCCGGGGUACACAGGGAUCCACGCGAGCAAAACCAACCUCUAGGGAGACGGUCCCUUUCCAAAGCAAGCGAAGGCAAGAGCAGAUGGGUACCGAGUCCAGUGCUAAAGAGAACAGUCAAGGCCUCCUACUGGGAGCAGGUUAAAGCAGAUGCAAGCAGAGCUCCUGGAGGAGCAUUGGAACACCUCCCGGCCACAAUCUACCCCACAGGUGGAAGAUAUCACCACGUGGGAAAGAGCUUCACCAUUGUUUGCAAACCUUAUCACCAAGCACUGGUACAUCCUGCAGGCCCC